rnacentral:rRNA from 1 species
GACGAGGGACCUAGCGUUGUUCGGAAUCAUUGGGCGUAAAGAGUAUGUAGGCGGCUUUGUAAGUCAGUUGUGAAAUCCCCCGGGCUUAACCCGGGAAGUGCAAAUGAUACUGCUAAGCUUGAAUUUGGAAGAGGGUAGUGGAAUUCCUGGUGUAGUGGUGAAAUACGUAGAUAUCAGGAGGAACACCGGUGGCGAAGGCGGCUACCUGGUCCUAAAUUGACGCUGAGAUACGAAAGCAUGGGGAUCAAAAUAGG